rnacentral:lncRNA from 1 species
CACACUGCAGCUCACGGCAACACCGGAUCCUUAACCCACUGAGUGAAGCCAGGGAUCAAACCUGCUUCCUCAUGGAUGCUAGUCAUAUUCUUUUCUGCUGAGCCACGAUGAGCCCAAUUUUAUACAUUCUUACAGUUUUAUUUCUCGAUUUAUCUCUUGGCUUCUAUUAUCUGACAUUAAAACCAGACAUCUGAACCAAACUUGUCAUAUCUUAAUCUCAUACAAAACUUCCAUAGACCGUGGAAGGGAAACUCCCAUUAGAGUGGCUUUUAGGCUGGAGUGAAAGGAAAAGUAAAGCAGCCAUGACUGAAUAAAAGUGAGUGAACCAUGAAUCAUCUGAAAAGACUGCUUGGCAUCACAUGAACUAGAAAAGUGUUGACUCACUAACCUAUAUUCUUCUUUGCAUACACCAUUAGCUUGCUGUAGUUACACAGUUUGUUAAAUAAUGUGGAUGCUCAAUAGAGAACACGUUGCUUAAAAAUUUUUGCUUUAGUCGUGUGUGGGAGGUACAUUGUCAUAAGCAUGUAAGAACAAGGGGUAGAUGUUAAGAGAGAAGAAGAAAGAAAAAAAAAAAACCGUCUCAUAAAUGUGGUUCGGAUUAUGUAUUCAAGGAACGCAGUUACAAUUUUUUGGCAAGCUUUCUCAGGAAGAAGGAAACCUAAGAAAAAUUAUCAUACAAGUGAAAGGCUCCUUUGUUCAAAUUCUGACUAUUUAUUGACAUCAAAACCAGGGGAUUGAAUUUCUUCUUACCCUCACUGGUUGUGGUAGUCAGUGUAGGAGCAUGGGCUUUGCUGCAUUCUUUGGUAUGGCUAUUGAUUAACCUUUGUGGUUUAAGGGCUUCAGAGAGUAAUUCCCCACAGGCUUGUUUUAUUAUAGAAAGUGUACUUUCCCCACAGGCCUUGUUUACCAUAGGAAAUGUGCCUUCCCCCACAGGGACCCUAUCUCUGAACUACUCUUCAACUGAUAGAAAAGGAAUGAGAGGAAUGGUGACUUUGUCUAAGGGAAGAAAAGACAAAGAAGUCAUAAAACUUUGGGACAUUUCCACCCCUAAAACCCCUAUUGGACAAGGACUGAUAGAGGAAACUAAGCAAGGCCAAUGGGAAAAAACCACAUCUUUCUGGACCCCACGUUUGUACCCACCCCCCCAUCUUUAAGGAUAAAAACCCUUAUAGGACAAUAGAGAGGGGAGCUCUUCUCCCCGCUCCCAGCUGCCCUGGGAGUUGUUUGCGUUUCUGUAAUGAAGACUUUGCUUGCUUGCUGCCUGUGUGUUUGCGGAGUUCAUUCCUCGACUGCAUGAAUAAGAACCUGGAUUCUGGUAACAUCUUUCUGGCAUCAUUGUAUGGAAAUACUUCCUCUGUCUGCUGAGUGGCCGGGGUGGGAUGUGACAGAUUACAAUUGAAACCACCAGUGUCUUUCAGUUUGGGAUCAGGAAGCACACUGAGCAAAACUGUGAAAGGUUAAAAGCUUAUCUUUCUGGGGAGUUCCCACUGCAGCUCAGCGGUAAUAAAUCAACUAGUAUCCAUGAGAAUGCAGUUUCGAUCCCUGGCUUCGCUCAGUGGGUUAAGGAUCUGGCAGAAUCUGGUGUUACCAUGAGCUGUGGUGUAGAUCGCAAUCACAGCUCGAAUCCCCCUUUGCUGUGGCGUAGGCUGGCAACUAUAGCUCUGAUUCCACCCGUAGCUUGGGAACUUUCAUAUGCCGCAGGUGCAGCCCUAAAAAAAAAAAAA